GAUGAAGAACGUAGCGAAAUGCGAUAAGUAAUGUGAAUUGCAGAAUUCAGUGAAUCAUCGAAUCUUUGAACGCACCUUGCGCCCUUUGGCCAUUCCGAAGGGCAUGCCUGUUUGAGUAUCAUGAACACCUCAACUCUCAUGGCUUGCCAUGAUGAGCUUGGACUUUGGGGGUCUUGCUGGCCUGUGGUCGGCUCCUCUCAAAUGAAUCAGCUUGCCAGUGUUUGGUGGCAUCACAAGUGUGAUAACUAUCUGCGCUCGUGGUUUCCAUCAGAUAACCUCCAGUGAUGGAGGUUCGCUGGAGCUCAUAAAUGUCUCUCCUAAGCGAGGACAGCUCUUUUAAUGUUUGAUCUCAAAUCAGGUAGGACUACCCGCUGAACUUAAGCAUAUCAAUAAGCGGAGG
rnacentral:misc_RNA from 1 species